GAGGGCCUGGCAGUGGGAGUUGGAUUCGGGGCCAUUGGAAAAUCCGAGUCUGCCACAUUCCAAAGUGCCAGGAAUUUAGCCAUUGGGAUUGGGAUCCAGAACUUCCCAGAGGGGCUGGCUGUCAGCCUGCCCCUGCGUGGUGCUGGAUUCUCCACGUGGAAAGCUUUCUGGUAUGGGCAGCUGAGUGGGAUGGUGGAACCCCUGGCUGGUGUUUUGGGAGCCUUUGCCGUGGUGCUGGUGGAGCCUGUGCUGCCCUACGCCCUGGGCUUUGCUGCUGGAGCCAUGGUGUACGUGGUGAUGGACGACAUCAUCCCCGAGGCACAGAGCAGUGGCCAUGGCAGGCUGGCAUCCUGGAGCUGCGUGCUGGGCUUCGUGGUCAUGAUGUCCCUGGACGUGGGGCUGGGCUAGGACAGAGCUGCCAUCCCAGCAGGA